UCCGGUAUGGUGUAACGGUCAACAUUACCGCUUUUCAAUUUCGAAUUACGUAACCAGCUUACGUAAGCCCGCUAUUCAUCGCGGUAGCUCGGGGUUCGAUUCCCCGUACCGGAA